rnacentral:rRNA from 1 species
GACGAAGGGGGCAAGCGUUGUUCGGAAUUACUGGGCGUAAAGGGCGCGUAGGCGGUUCUUUAAGUCAGGCGUGAAAGCCCUGGGCUCAACCUGGGAGUGGCGCUUGAUACUGGAGGACUGGAGAGUGGGAGAGGUUGGUGGAAUUCCCAGUGUAGAGGUGAAAUUCGUAGAUAUUGGGAAGAACACCAGUGGCGAAGGCGGCUAUCUGGACGGUUUCUGACGCUAAGACGCGAAAGCGUGGGGAGCAAACAGG